rnacentral:rRNA from 1 species
UCGAACGAACUCUGGUAUUGAUUGGUGCUUGCAUCAUGAUUUACAUUUGAGUGAGUGGCGAACUGGUGAGUAACACGUGGGAAACCUGCCCAGAAGCGGGGGAUAACACCUGGAAACAGAUGCUAAUACCGCAUAACAACUUGGACCGCAUGGUCCGAGUUUGAAAGAUGGCUUCGGCUAUCACUUUUGGAUGGUCCCGCGGCGUAUUAGCUAGAUGGUGGGGUAACGGCUCACCAUGGCAAUGAUACGUAGCCGACCUGAGAGGGUAAUCGGCCACAUUGGGACUGAGACACGGCCCAAACUCCUACGGGAGGCAGCAGUAGGGAAUCUUCCACAAUGGACGAAAGUCUGAUGGAGCAACGCCGCGUGAGUGAAGAAGGGUUUCGGCUCGUAAAACUCUGUUGUUAAAGAAGAACAUAUCUGAGAGUAACUGUUCAGGUAUUGACGGUAUUUAACCAGAAAGCCACGGCUAACUACGUGCCAGCAGCCGCGGUAAUACGUAGGUGGCAAGCGUUGUCCGGAUUUAUUGGGCGUAAAGCGAGCGCAGGCGGUUUUUUAAGUCUGAUGUGAAAGCCUUCGGCUCAACCGAAGAAGUGCAUCGGAAACUGGGAAACUUGAGUGCAGAAGAGGACAGUGGAACUCCAUGUGUAGCGGUGAAAUGCGUAGAUAUAUGGAAGAACACCAGUGGCGAAGGCGGCUGUCUGGUCUGUAACUGACGCUGAGGCUCGAAAGUAUGGGUAGCAAACAGGAUUAGAUACCCUGGUAGUCCAUACCGUAAACGAUGAAUGCUAAGUGUUGGAGGGUUUCCGCCCUUCAGUGC